rnacentral:lncRNA from 1 species
AUAGUAUGAAAGAAAGAAAAAUAAGAUUGUGUUUAAUUUGUAAUGCUGCUAUUUUUAAAAAUAACUAAAAUUAUGUUUGAUUAAUUUUAUGGAAUAGUAAAGAAUGAUGAAAAAAGUUAGAGAUAAUUUGUUAUAAAAAAUAAUUGUUUUUUCAAAUUCUACUUAAACUUAAAUUGAAUAGAAAUAAUUUAUUAUAAUAUUUAUGUACAAUUUAUUUUAUAUAUAUAUAGAGAGAGAGAGAGAGAGAGAGGGGCUUUUAUACUAUUAUGAGUAUUGGGCCCUUCGUACUCAUAAGUUAUUUUCGAUGAUGGAGCUUCCGAAUCGACGAUCCACUCCGUUAAAUAUGAUUUAAAGUAUUUAAAACUUCUAGAAAAUAAAUUUCGUAAUUUUUCGAAAUCAUAAUAAAGUCCAUCAAGCGGACAUAAAAUGAACGGUCAAAAUUGAACAAUGUCUUAAAAAGAUGAUCAGAUUCUUCAAUUUAAGAUCGGAGUUAUUGAUCUUUAUCUAGAUAGUGAAUAGAAUUUUCUAUCAAAAAUUUAACUUAUUCGGAUUCUUUUGCACCGUUAAACUAGCAAGUAUUCUAUACCGAUCGUUAAAAAUUGUCAAUUUUGUGAGCUUUUGAUCGUAAGGUAAAUGAUGUCGAAAAAUUAUGAAAUUUGAUUUCUAGAUUUUUCAAAUGCUCUAGAUAACGUUUAACGGUGUAAAUCGUCGAUUCGACUCUAUUAUCGAGAAAACAACUUAUGAGUACGAGGGCGAUCGUACUCAUAAUAGUAUAGUAGCCGGACUAUAUAUAUAUAUAUAUAUAGUUGAGCUAGAAUACUCUCAAAAACACCAAGAGGGUGAUUCUUUUGAGUUUUUAGGCAUUGGAUGGAGAGAUGUAAGGUUGGGAUGAUAGUGGUAGGUAGAAUAGUGUUUAAUCCAAGGGCUAUUAGUAAUCAAGAAAUAGAUCCAAGGACUAGAAAUCUAAAAGCCCCAAAGGAUUGGUGCUUCUAAAAGUAUUCUAGCUCAAUUCAUAUAUAUAUAUACACACACAGACACAUAUCUAUAGAGAGUCUGGCUACUACGCUAUCAAUAGCAUCACGCGGUUGGUGCUACCAAGUUUUCCGCCGUUAGAUCUACCCCUUUGACGAUUUUCACUUAUUAGAUCAUACUAUUCAACCAACCACCUACUCAACCCUAGGGGACCACUAUCAUUCUAACCGCACAUCCCUUUAUCCAAGGGCUGAAAACCUAAUAGCACCAAUUACUUGGUGCUAUUAACAGUAUAGUAGCCUAGUUCUAUAUAUGUAAUAUACCGAAACCUCGGUAGGUUAUAUCGGACUUUAGUCAAAUUGAUCAAAGUGCGUCGAGAGAAAUAGUUGGA